UACGUAGGCAGCAAGCGUUGUUCGGAGUUACUGGGCGUAAAGGGUGCGUAGGCGGUUGUUUAAGUUUGGUGUGAAAUCUCCCGGCUCAACUGGGAGGGUGCGCCGAAUACUGAAUGACUAGAGUGCGGGAGAGGAGAGUGGAAUUCCUGGUGUAGCGGUGAAAUGCGUAGAUAUCAGGAGGAACACCGGUGGUGUAGACGGCUUUCUGGACCGUAACUGACGCUGAGACACGAAAGCGUGGGUAGCAAACAGG
rnacentral:rRNA from 1 species